UGCAGUCGAACGGCAGCAUGAUCUAGCUUGCUAGAUUGAUGGCGAGUGGCGAACGGGUGAGUAAUACAUCGGAACGUGCCCUGUAGUGGGGGAUAACUAGUCGAAAGAUUAGCUAAUACCGCAUACGACCUGAGGGUGAAAGUGGGGGACCGCAAGGCCUCAUGCUAUAGGAGCGGCCGAUGUCUGAUUAGCUAGUUGGUGAGGUAAAGGCUCACCAAGGCGACGAUCAGUAGCUGGUCUGAGAGGACGAUCAGCCACACUGGGACUGAGACACGGCCCAGACUCCUACGGGAGGCAGCAGUGGGGAAUUUUGGACAAUGGGCGAAAGCCUGAUCCAGCAAUGCCGCGUGUGUGAAGAAGGCCUUCGGGUUGUAAAGCACUUUUGUCCGGAAAGAAAUGGCUCUGGUUAAUACCUGGGGUCGAUGACGGUACCGGAAGAAUAAGGACCGGCUAACUACGUGCCAGCAGCCGCGGUAAUACGUAGGGUCCAAGCGUUAAUCGGAAUUACUGGGCGUAAAGCGUGCGCAGGCGGUUGUGCAAGACCGAUGUGAAAUCCCCGAGCUUAACUUGGGAAUUGCAUUGGUGACUGCACGGCUAGAGUGUGUCAGAGGGGGGUAGAAUUCCACGUGUAGCAGUGAAAUGCGUAGAGAUGUGGAGGAAUACCGAUGGCGAAGGCAGCCCCCUGGGAUAACACUGACGCUCAUGCACGAAAGCGUGGGGAGCAAACAGGAUUAGAUACCCUGGUAGUCCACGCCCUAAACGAUGUCAACUAGUUGUUGGGGAUUCAUUUCCUUAGUAACGUAGCUAACGCGUGAAGUUGACCGCCUGGGGAGUACGGUCGCAAGAUUAAAACUCAAAGGAAUUGACGGGGACCCGCACAAGCGGGGGAUGAUGUGGAUUAAUUCCAUGCAACGCCGAAAACCUUACCUACCC
rnacentral:rRNA from 1 species